GACGAACGCUGGCGGCGUGCUUAACACAUGCAAGUCGAACGGAAAGGCCCUGCUUUUGUGGGGUGCUCGAGUGGCGAACGGGUGAGUAACACGUGAGUAACCUGCCCUUGACUUUGGGAUAACUUCAGGAAACUGGGGCUAAUACCGGAUAGGAGCUCCUGCUGCAUGGUGGGGGUUGGAAAGUUUCGGCGGUUGGGGAUGGACUCGCGGCUUAUCAGCUUGUUGGUGGGGUAGUGGCUUACCAAGGCUUUGACGGGUAGCCGGCCUGAGAGGGUGACCGGGCACAUGGGAAUGGGGAUGCGGCCCGGUCUCAGGCGGGGGAAAGAGGGGGGGAAUUUUGCACAGUGGGGGGAAGCGUUGAGCGCCAACCCGGGGUGAGGGUUGUGGGCCUUCGGGUUGGAAACGGCUUUGCCUUGAGAAGAAGGGAGAGGGGCGAUAAUGGUGAAAAAAGCCCGGGCUAAAUCAGUG
rnacentral:rRNA from 1 species